UUUUCGAUUUACAGCCUCCAGUAUAUCGCCUCAGUUCCCCGAGAUUCUUGCCACUGGUGCUACUCUACAAUUCGACCCUUUCUUUAAUUAUUUAUUCUUACCCCUCGAAUUUCUUUCUUCAGCUUUCCAACAACUGCUCUGUAUCAGACUAUCCUGAAACUCUCAGUGCGUUCUAAUAUAUACCCUUUGGAGACGUCCACUUUGUGGGAGAACAGGUAAUUCCAUUAUUGCCCUGAAUCUAAGUCUACUCUGCGUUUUUCACUAAUCAUUGCAUUACCCACGCCUAUGAUUUCAUGCGUCCCGCAUGUCUAAUAACUUUUUUAAAAUUUAUUUAUUUAUUUUAAAGGUACAUGUAACACCUGGUUACAAAAAGAAACAAAUACAUACACACACGUACUCUGUUUGAUAAACAUGUGUCAUUCUAGUCAGACCAACUGUCUUCUUCAAACUUUUCAUUGGUUUCUCCAUUCUCUUGAUACUUCCUAAUCACUCUGAUUAUCUUCUUAUGCCUUGUCUUAUUUGCCUCCUCAACAUGAAUGUUGGCCUGUGUAGCAACUUCGAUAGUUUGAACUCGUUUCUUACAACAGGAGCAGUGCAGAUCCUCUAAAGGCGCCUCCUGACCUGAUCCACUAUAGUAGCUUCGUCUUCAUUCUCUGUAUUCUUUUCUUCUAUUAUAACUUUUUCAGUGACUUGGUUCCCUUCGUCUGCUGCUUUUCGUUUAACACCAGGCAAAUGCGGGGUUAUUCUUUUUCUUUGAGUUCUACCUAACUCGACGUUUGUUUCUUCAAAAAGUAGAUCUCCUGGAUCUUCAUUCCAAUCUUCAUCUAUACCGGUAGCUGAUUCCACAAAUGAAUCUUGAAGCUGUCUCUUCUCUUGUAAUUCUGAUACCUUGUUUCUUACGCUUUAUCAACGAAGUUCUACCAAAAUCAUCUUUGGCGUUAGAGAAAGGGUGUUGAAACUUUAUCAGAGAUACUCUAAUUUUAGAUGCCUCUUCUGCUGUGAGCCCCUUAGUUGUUUCUAUGUACAAUUCAUUCAAAUGAGCCGGAAUGUUUUCUACAUCUUCACUUAGCGUCACUGAACUUAUCAUAUUUUCUUCUUCAGAUUUAACUACUUCCACUGGGGAAGUCAUUCCAACAACUGUAUUUCUAUAAAUUGUUUGAACUUGCUCAGCUAUAUUCAUUAAACGCAAUGUAACAUUUUUAGGUGGGUCCACCAGGUUUCUAGCUAUUAGGGUUUUACCGCCGUUAUCAAACUUCUUGCUGGGCUCUAUCAGCAGAGGUCCUUGUAUCUUUACACCUGGAGGUGACAAUAGCUACCCAGCACAAAUCAUCUCACUUCUAGGGGGAAUUGUUAUAUUUUCCUCCAGGUUAACACGAAAGCAACCUAUGUGCCCCUACAAAUGCAGCUCGUGUUCAACUCCAGAUGCAAACAUUUUAGUACGAGAUAUGUCCACUAAACAUUGACUCGAUCGAAGGAAAUCCAAACCUAGGAUCCCAUCUGCUUUAAUGUUUGCCACGACAGCUUGGCAGUCGAACUCAUGGUCUCCUAACUUAAUCAAAAAGUUACCUCGUCCCCUCACUUUCAAUGGAGUUCCAUCAGCUGCUACUAUGUUCCGAGAUACAGUUUCCAGAGGAAUAUUUACAGACUUCAUCAUUUCGUCAUACAGUCUAUCAGCAAAAAUAGUAAGUGUUGCCCCAGUAUCAACCAGUAGAUCACAAGGUACGAGACUGACCUGUGCUUUAAUAAACAGACCUGAUUCUAGAUUUGUCUUUGCAUGUUUCUAGACUUGAUUGUCACAUUUUUCUUUUGUGGUUACCUUUCCACAUUUUCAUUGGUCUUGGCCUUGGGUCUAGUCCUUGGUACCUCGUUUGGGUUAGGUCUGUUUCUCAAGAAGCAGUCUUUGAUUUUAUGUCCACGUUUUCCACAAUGAUGGCAUUUGUAGGGAAAAGCAGAUGAUUGUGGUGUAACAUUUUCAGAUUGAUUAUUUGAUUUUUCAUUUGAAAGUUUUUCAAUUUUGUUUUCUACUUUUCUUAAAGACAUGUGUAAAUCAUCCCUGAGCUUCUUAAAUUCUUCUCUUACACCGUCGUCAGCAUGAUUCACACUUUUAUUCUCUUGAUCCCCUGUGGCAUUUCUGGCAAACCCAACGUCAUGUCUUCGUUGCCUUUCUGCUCUGCAAAAUGCUUCAAUUUUGACUGCAAGUCGCACCGCAUCAUUAAGUGACUUUGGUCGAGAUUGUUGAAUACGGAGUCGCAUGUUGAAGUCUGUCAGUGCAUCGACAAACUGGUCUUUGGCGAUCCUUUCUGUUACUUCGCGGGGAGCAGUCGGGUAGGCUAAGUGAGUCAAACGGCGAAUACAUUCACCUAACUCUGGCAAAGUUGCUAUAGCUUUCUGUCUUUUCUCUUUCAGCAUCGCCCUGUACAACUCGGUUUGGUUUGCCGGUGCAAACCUGGCCUCUAAAGCAUCACACAAAUCCUCGUAUGUACAAGUUGUACAUGUUUCCUAAUAUUGUUUGAGCCUGUACUCUUAAUGAAGCUGCCAAGUACAAACUUUUCUGUCGAGCGCUCCACAUACUGAUAUCACAACAGGCCUCAAAGUGAGCCUUGUAGUCAAUCCAAGAUCCCACACCAUCAAAUGUCGCCGGUGUCAUAAUUGGUUUGCUCACAACACAUUCUGUGGUUUUAUUUGUUGCACUGUCAUGACUGGGUAUCUGUUGUUUGGCAGAAAAUGAACCAAUCCCUGCAUUUCGGCUGUUUGACCAAUUUACACUUGUAGUUGUUGACGGAGCAGCAUAUCCACUAGUACACCAAGGUAACCAUGUUGUUGGAGUUGAUCGAGGAAGAGAUGUUUGCUUAAAUUGUCUUGGUAAAUCAUAUUUGCUUGGUUCUCUGGAAGUAGACGUAUCUCUACCUGUGCUUCGGUCUUCCUCAUACAUUGUGUAACUUGUCUUUGGGGACGUCAAGGGUCUAUAGUCCUCUAUGCCACCAGUUGCGCCCUUUUCCUUAUUGCCCAAUGUGCUUGUGAAUUUCGAUGUAAGCUCAUCUAAACUGAUUUCAAAUGGCUUAUAUCCAGUAUCUACCCCCGAAUCUGGUAUCCUCGAUGGAUUUGUAGAUGUCUGUGGUGUAGACUUCAUUCUACCUAAUGUUUCUCUCAGUUUCUCUCGCAUGGCGUCUAUAGCACUUAGAUCGGCCAAAAGGUCCACUUCUUUGUCUGACAUCUUACUUUUCUCUGAUAAACUUACAAAUUCCUAAUUCUAUUAAUAAUUAAAACAAACUUAGCCUUAGUACAAAACCUGGUUUCACUGACCUGGUACACCGGACCUGGUCACACUGAACCUGGUAAACAGGACUUGGUAUCACAGCACCUGGCUCUCUGUGUCCGGUUAGCAGUACUUGAUAAACUGUACCUGGUACCUAAUACACUUGUCUUAUCAACUUUUAUCCCCUGAUCAGCUGCCACCAAAAUGUAACGUGUACCCUGCGUAGGAUUCUAAGGGGAGAAAUUUCCCCCAACUCUACCCGAGUCUAUGAUUGAUUUAUAUACAGCAUUGGGUAACUCUUAUCACCGUGUACCUUCCCCCAGGUUCCUAUUGAUGGCGGAUACUAGGUGUUUCAAUCUUUCGAUUUACAGCCCCCAGUAUCUUGCCUCUAUUCCCCGAGAUUCUUGCCACUGGUGCUACUCUACAAUUCUACCCUUCCUUUAAUUAUCUAUUCUUACCCCUCGAAUUUCUUUCUUCAGCUUUCCAACAUCUGCUCUGUAUCAGCCUACCCUGAAACUCUCAGUGGGUUCUAAUAUAUACCCUUCAGAGUAGUCCAUUUUGAGGGAGAACAGGCAAUUCCAUUAUUGCCCUGAAUGCAAGGUGAAGAUAACGAACAGUGAUCAAUCUCAUAAUUCCUACAAGCAAUACAAAAUAGAUAGUUGGGCAAACACGGACCCCUGGACACACCAGAGGUGGGAUCAGGUGCCUAGGAGGAGUAAGCAUCCCCUGUUGACCGGUCACACCCGCCGUGAAUCUAGGUCUACUCUGCGUUUUUCACUAAUCAUUACAAUAGGAAGUCUCAUAAUUUCUCAUGAAAAAGUGAAGAUAAUGAACAAUCUUAUAAUGAUUACACAAUUGAGAGUAGGGUAAACACGGAUCCUUGUUAAAGUAAAUAUGAGUGGUGGCAACUGCUGUGCCAUUAUUUAUGUAUGGGGGCGCCUUAAUUCAAUGAGAAACAAUUUCUCGGAAUAAGUAAAAGAUAACCCAAUUUGUAUGUUUUACAUAUUAUUGAACAUGCAAUUUUUAAAACCAUUAUAAGAACACAUGGACACACGUCACACAGUUUGAACACAAUCACACAAGUUCAUUCUUCUUUUUUAGGGGUUCCGGGGUUUUGAAGGCUCGUUGACCUCAUUGUGAAAGUCAUUGCUUCGGUUUCUAGUGGCUGUCAGUCACUUAUCCAGGGUCCUAACUGUCCGCAUUUGUAACAGGGUACAUGGGGAAAUCUAGCGAUCAAUGCUCCAUUUCUAGUGCUGUGGUCAUUUCUCAAAAGUGGCUUUAAAAUGGGAGUAACCCCAACCUAGGGUAGAACAAAGUACAACCUAUUUGAUUUGAUGCAGAAUUUUCUGUACAUUUUGGAAAUGAUGGUUGUAGUCUGAUAAAAUCUGUUUGACUUAGCCUAAAUUUGGAUUUUCUGUCACAAAGUCACACUAUUUUUGUGAAAAAAUUAGUGAGUACAUUUUGUCUAAUUAUGACUGACUUUAUGCAGGAAAUCAAACAAAAAUGGUUCUAAACCACGUAGCCUAACCCUGCCAAUUGUAUCAAGACUUUUAUAUGACAAUACUGUGCAGGUGUUUUGGAUGAUGAAAGAAAUAUGGACUUAAAUUGUCAAAAACGUCUUCAUUUUUCGUUCCGAGUACGCUCAUUUCGUGCGUCUGACAGACCGAUUCAUCAUAGAAGUGGCAUAUACUACACAUCAAAAUUUGUCUCAAUGACUCCUCUCUCGACUGGUAUAUAGUUUGCAUGUGUGGCAUAAUCCAUUAGGCUGUAAGACUGCAAAAUGAUACCCCCACACUCAAAUUUGAGAAAUUGUUAAACAUUUGUGCAUUUGUAUAGAAUGGCAAUUAUAUAGAAGAUAAAGUGGUUAAUCAUGCAAAACAAUGCAAAUUUAUCAUAAAUAAGCUGUAUUAGAGUCUAGAUAAAAUGUUUUAGUGCUGUUCUAUAAAACUAUGGCACAUCUACUAAGUCAUUGGGUACCUUCGCUCCGUAGUUACAUGAAAUUAAGGAGUUGGUGGAUUUUUAUUUCAAUGUUAUUUUGAUAUGCUAAAGGCCACACCCCAGAAAACCAUUUACGAGUUGAAGUCAAAUAGUAACAAGUUUAGAAUUAAAUACAUCACUAUAUUUAUACCAACAACUUCAGUUAUGUUAAGACAAAGUACAUUGUAUAUCUGGAUAUUUAGUAAUUGUUAAUACUUGUGACAUGAAAAUAUACUGAAUAAUUCAUUAAAAUCACAAGUAAAUCUAAGUACCUAACACUGUUGAAGUACUGUAUCUACUUUGUCAUCAAUGUGACAUGUGAAAUAAGUAUGCAUCACUUAUACAUGUAACUGUCUGACAUGAUAUACGUACAUGUAUAUGCUCAUACAAUCUUAUCAAUAAGUUUAGUGAUUCAAUGAUUGUUAACUAUACAAGUUUACAAUCACUUAUGUCAUAUAUGCUCUAAGUGCACCAUAAGUACAAAGUUAAAGAGAUACAGUGAAUGACAAGUUGUGAAUGUAAAUCAAUAUACAUUUUCAAGUUAAGAUCGUCAUUGUUACUCAGUUAAAAUUAUCAUCACUGUCAGUAAUAGCCUUUAGAAUGUUCUGGCAGUCACCAUGGCAUGCACAAAACUCAGUGCAGUGAAGGUGGUCCAGCAGACAGUGACACUUAUUGGAGUGCUGGCAGUCAUGGUCUGUACAGUAUAUAUGAGUAAGAUCGCCGACUUCCACUGGUGCUGAUUCUUUGGUAUAAAUUACUGGUUCAAGCAGACCAUCUGACAAAUACCAACCGUUGCCAACAGGAGUAUCUGGGAUCAGAUUGGCGAUGUGACUUUGACACCAGAUGCUGGCCUGUUACCUUGCUCUGAGGAAAUGCUGCUUGAAAGCACCUUUUGUUGGUGGCAUUUGUGAGGCAGGGUUGUCUGUUUUCGAGGCCAGGAGGUACCGAAGCUGGUCCAAGGAAGAACAUGUCUUCGCUUUCUUUCCAUACAAUCUGAGGACAUAAGAAUGUGCAGAAGAAACAUCUACUUCCACGUUAUUCUGCAUUCCAAAUGUUAUCAGUGAAUGAAUGUUCUUUCUCACAUGUUCCUGCAGUUUUGUGUAAGCAAUGCGCUUGCCUAUUUGAUAUAAACUGCUUGUGUUGUCAAAUCCCGUGAGUGCAUGUGCUGCUGGGAGACAUUCACAGAACUUCACACCAUGUUUUGCCACAAUGAAAUGAACAGGAAUGUAACGUUGCCUGUUGAUUGUUGGGGGUGUUAUGGCCUGCCAGCCAGCAUGUAUACAAAAUCAGUUGGCAUAUCCUUGCUGUAAUAGUAUAAUAGCAGCACCAAAACAUCAGUAUCAUCACUUCGAAAAACCAGGCGAUCAUGAGUGGAAGACAGAUCGAUGGCAUGAAGCAGCAUUCUUGUAUCCGCUUCUUCUUGGGAACUGAAGAAGCUUGAAAUGGUAGCUGCUCCUGUCGACGUGGCAAGUUUUGCUAUAUAUGUCCUUCAUGAAACCCUCCAGCAAGGAUUAUUAUCUGGUUUCCUGAUAGCAUACUGGGUGCAACACUGACAAUGUGGUCAGAGACAAAGGCAGCAAGGGCAGCUUUGUUUCCUGAUACCUUAAGAAAUUAGGAACCUAACGAUUUGCUUUGAUAACGUAUCCAGCUUGCUUUGUUUCUCCACGCCUGUUUCGUUCAGCUGCCUUCACACUGAGUUUAUGGUCAUAUCUAUCAAAUACAAUGACCACUGAUUUUACACCUCGAUUCUUGUCAAAGGGGUUGAUCAUAAACUUCAACAAGACAUUAGCAAGGUCAAGAAAUGUGACAAAUAGCGUUUCCUUAAUUCCCUGUAUCAAUGACAUUCCAUCCAGAAUGUAUGCUGAUGAUACACUUCCUCUGAGUUGGCCAGUGAUGCAUUCUACUGAUGCCUCUAACUUCUUUGCUAGGUCUGACUUUGUAGUUUUUCUCAUAGCUCCGUCGUCAUAGGAGAGCGAGGGGGAUAUUGCUGACAGCUCAUGUGUAAGUACGUUUUCAAGGUUGACUUUUAGUUGCUUUGAAAAAACCAGCAAUCGACAAAAGAGGACCUCUGAGUCAACAAUAAGCUUCUCUUUGGCCUUGUUUAUGACAGGCUUCUUCAUAUCGGCAAAGGUUUUGACUUUCAAUCUCGACUCUGUGUCCCAGAAAUUCUUUGUCUUUGAGGAGGUGACUCUACUAGUAAUGAACUCUCUAUGUUUUGUUGUUCCUUGUUCCAGGAAAUUGUUCAAACUUCCCCUUACUUCUUUUGAAGCCACUUGUCCAGUGAUGAUGUUGAUCAGUUCUGCUGGCACUGUGUCUAGAUCGAAUGGAUUCUGAAUAUUAGCUGCAUUUUCAACUAUCUUUAUAACAUCCUUCUCAUCCCUUUCUCUUCUGGCUUUGCCUAGCUCUUGGUGUGGCUAAUCAUUCUGAGAGCUCUCCUUUGCAAUGAACGCUUCAACAUAUUCAGCUGUGAUGUGCCUGGUUGUUAGCCAACGUGUUAACCUGUCUUUCUUCUUGAGAGUCCAAUUACACCGCCUUUCCUAUUCCCAUUUCUGUUUACUGUUUGCUCUAAUGCUUGAUCAAUUGCUACAGCAUUGAAGCUGUGGCUUGGUGUUCUUCGAACCACGAAUCCUCCAUCAAGCUGAUAUAAAACUGUUGCUAUACAGUACCACAUCGUACCAUGUAAUACUAAAUCCUCUGAGUAUUGUAUGUAAAGUCACAUGUCCUAAUUUGCGCUAAUUCAUGUAUGUUGUUGUGCAUAUAAUAAUUAACCAUUUUCGUUUUGAUAUAAAUACCAUAGAUGAUUGAUUGUAUCUUCCUUAACGUCUCUCUCGAGAAUUUUUUCCCUCAUAUGGAGACGUCACCAAGACCGAUGAAGGGCAUCAAAUUUAGGCCUUUGCUCGGCGCUUACGGCCUUUGAGCAGUGAGGGUUCUUUAGCGUGCCACACCUACUGCGACACGGGACAUCCGUUUUUAAGGUCAUCUCAGAGGACCUUUGACAUUCACACCUGAUGCCGAGCAUUUGGCAAUGAAACUGGCACUGCCUGUUUCAACGACUUAGGUCCUUAUGUCUUUCGCGGCCGGGUUUCGAACCCCGGGGCGAAUGCUUUAACUUCUAGGCCACCGCAGCGGUUGAUUACCAUAGAAUACCCCCCCCCCCCCUCAAAUUUGAGAAAUCGUCAAAAAUUUUGUGGAUUUGUAUUAAAUGGUACAAAAAUUACCAUAGAAUAACUUUUGUACUAUUUAUUACAAAUCCACAAUUUUUUUGACGAUUUCUCAAAUUUGGGGGUGGGGUAACAUUUUGCAGUCUUACAGCCUAAUGGAUUAUACCACACAUGCAAACUAAAUGCCAGUCGAGAGAGGAGUCAAUGAGACAAAUUUUGAUGUGUAGUAUAUGCAACUUCUAUGAUGAAUCGGUCUGUCAGACGCACGAAAUGAGCGUACUCGGAACGAAAAAUGAAGACGUUUUUGACAAUUUAAAGGGAACGUAGGGUUAAAAAUCAAAUUUUGAUAUGUGAAAACUGGUACCAUGCAGACAACAAAAUCUAGCAUAGAAAAAAUAAUUGCUGCUGAUAACAAGAUUUAAUCUGUCAUUUAUACUGAAAACUGAGCUGAAUGGUAGAAUCUCUUAUCAUGGCGGCUGAUGACGUGCAUGCGGCAAUUCAUUACAACUGUUGUGCCUAUAGCACUAAAUGGGUUACAGAGUAUCUAUAAUUUAAAUGUCGGGAGUUCAAGCGAAAUUUUUCACUGUGGUCAAAGGAAAAGGAAUACAUGUAUCUACCUUUUAGCAUCCCUGAUCUCCCCCCAAAACUAUGAACAUUGUGCAAUAAUUGGAUACAUAACCUUGGAAAUGAUUCGUUUGUUUUUGAACGGCAUUUUGAGAAAGAUUCUUUUAAAGAUAUCAGGGUAAGUAUAAAUUAUAUUUGCAUUUUACUUGGUAAAUACUAAUAAUUCUUAAUGUGUAAAUAACCAGAGUUUAUUUACAACAAACUUUUACUUAUAUGAUAAUUUUCUAAUUUAAAUCUAAUUCAGUUUAUUCUAAUAUCCUUAUCCAGUGAACAUUUUGUACAGGCUAAAUAUGAAGGGAUGGGUAAACACUGCUUUUUAAAUAUUCAAAGUUAAGAUUAAUAUCUAUUUAAGUUACGAUAUUGGGAUACACACCAAAACCUAUUGAAAAGAAGAUGCAGUAACUAAAAUCUUUGAUGGCAGCAAGCCUAAGAAAAUAAGAGAAAAUAGCUCAAAAAGAUGAGGAAAAGAAAAAGCAGGAUACAUGUAAUACUUUCAAAAUUCAUCACAGCACUAGCACAGUUUGUAUUAUACUAUUGUUUUUAAAGAAAUUGAAAAUGUGUAGUAGGGUGAAUUAAUAUCAAUAAUUUAUCUUAUUUUUAGUGUAAAUAAAAUAUGUAAGUUGCAAAACAUAAACUUUUAUUGGAUUAUAUAAUGGUCUUCCAUAUUUCUCUAUUUAGAUAUGUAGUAAUGUAAUUAUGACCUUAAUGGCUUUCCUUAUGAUUAAACCAUGCAUGCAGUUGUUGUUCAUGGUCUAUUUAAUUCAUUUUGGUUGGCUAAGCUUAGUGUCAAAGGUUAUAUGUCAUGGGUUUGGUGAGUUCUGUUGGAUUUUUAGAUAGUCAGUUGUAUUCACUAGCAGAGUGUUGAAGGGUGGUUUUCUUUGCAUAUCUUUUGACAUCUUUUUUCUGACUUGAGGUAAGAAAAUGAAUCUUAACAUAUUUAUUGGUGUGAAUGUGUUAAUGAAUGAAAGAAAUGAAAUUAUGUACUUUAUUUCAUAUUUAACAAAGGAGUAAAAUAGAAUUAAUAUUUUAUACAGGUUCCUUGAAAAUCAGUUAUCUUCCUAAUUUUUGAUAUUUUGGCUCUGGUACCAUAUAUCUGAGCUGCUAUUUACAUGUCAGAAAUAGAUUUAUUUCUUCAAUAAACUCAUAACCUGUCACGGAUGGUCUGUGUGGUCAUUAGAACCGGUUUGCAACCCCGUAACAAAUCUAAUCCAUUUUCUUUUGGAAACUAAUGAAAACUCAUAUGCAGAACCUAUUGACCAACCUGGACUAUCAGCAUCUAAGGAAAUAGCUCAAAGACAUGAAUAGUGACAAAAAUAUCCCACUCUCAAUCCAUAUUGAAGAACAAAUCAACUUUGUGCAACAUAUACAGAUAUAAUUGCCCAGUCAUUGUCCAUCAUAUGUGCUAAGGAAUGUUCAAGUGAAGAAGUGAAGAUAAUGAACUGUAUUAAGAACACAAAAUUAAAAAUUUAAGAAUUAAGAGUGUCGUUUUCAUCAAUCCAUCCCAAUUCAUUAGUGUUUUCAUUUGAAGCUGGUAAUAAUUCCUCUUCAUUAUAAUCAGGCUCAAAUUGAUAUCAUUUGCAGUCAGACAUGAUCAGCUGCUUUCACUGAGAGGCAAUUGCCCGGUAUACAUCAUAAGCAGAUGGGAUUGUGGGAAAUAUCUUAAAGAGCGAUAACUUUAUCUUGC